UCUUGCAGAUAUUUGACGCUUAAUUUUUUUUUUGUUUUUGGUAAUUGUACAACACAUGUUUAAACUUGAGUUAUUGUGGAAUUGUUUUUUAUAUUGCAUCGCAAAACAAAUGAUUCUGGUUGUAUUAUCGUGAAUUAUUAUUUUUUCCAUGGAAUUGUUUUGUUUACAUUGCAACGCAAAAUAAAUAAUUCUGGUUGUAAUAUCGUGGAAUUAUUUCUCCCGUUGCAACGCACGGGCAUGAUCCUAUCAACAAAUAAAGACAAGAAGCUAGCUAUUCUUCUCUCUCAUUCAUAAAACAUACAUACAUGUUGAUAAAUAUAUUGAAAAAUUUAUAAAGAGAGAGAGACAUAAAUUAGAAAACCUAAGUAUAGCAUAACUAUAUAAAUACAACAUUCAUUAUAAAUAGAU
rnacentral:lncRNA from 1 species